UUCGCGCAGCUUAGGUGGGAGACGUUGAACCUUUUCUUCCGGGAAAGGGGGAGUCAUCAGUGAGAUACCACUCUUGGUAAGCUAGAGCGCUCAUUUUUAACCGUUAUCCGGUAAAAAGACAGUUUCAGGCGGGCAGUUUGACUGGGGCAGUCACCUCCCAAAAGGUAAUGGAGGUGUACAAAGGUUCUCUCAGGCUGGACGGAAAUCAGCCAUAGAGUGUAAAAGCAUAAGAGAGCUUGACUGCGAGACGGACAUGUCAAGCAGAGACGAAAGUCGGUUUUAGUGAUCCGACGGUGCUGAGUGGAAAGGCCGUCGCUCAACGGAUAAAAGUUACUCUAGGGAUAAC
rnacentral:rRNA from 1 species